rnacentral:rRNA from 1 species
AGUGAACGCUGGCGGUAGGCCUAACACAUGCAAGUCGAACGGCAGCACAGGAGAGCUUGCUCUCUGGGUGGCGAGUGGCGGACGGGUGAGGAAUACAUCGGAAUCUACUCUGUCGUGGGGGAUAACGUAGGGAAACUUACGCUCAUACCGCAUACGACCUACGGGUGAAAGCAGGGGACCUUCGGGCCUUGCGCGAAUGAAUGAGCCGAUGUCGGAAUAGCUAGUUGGCGGGGUAAAGGCCCACCAAGGCGACGAUCCGUAGCUGGUCUGAGAGGAUGAUCAGCCACACUGGAACUGAGACACGGUCCAGACUCCUACGGGAGGCAGCAGUGGGGAAUAUUGGACAAUGGGCGCAAGCCUGAUCCAGCCAUACCGCGCGGGUGAAGAAGGCCUUCGGGUUGUAAAGCCCUUUUGUUGGGAAAGAAAUCCAGCUGGCUAAUACCCGGUUGGGAUGACGGUACCCAAAGAAUAAGCACCGGCUAACUUCGUGCCAGCAGCCGCAGUAA